rnacentral:rRNA from 1 species
UACGGGGGGGGGCAAGCGUUGUUCGGAAUUACUGGGCGUAAAGGGCUUGUAGGUGGCCAACUAAGUCAGACGUGAAAUCCCUCAGCUUAACUGGGGAACUGCGUCUGAUACUGGAUGGCUUGAGUUUGGGAGAGGGAUGCGGAAUUCCAGGUGUAGCGGUGAAAUGCGUAGAUAUCUGGAGGAACACCGGUGGCGAAGGCGGCAUCCUGGACCAACACUGACACUGAGGAGCGAAAGCCAGGGGAGCAAACGGG